ACCCACUACUGGUCUGCAGCUGUUCUAACGGUGGCGGUGGUGACAUUCCUCUGUGGGAAAGAAAUCGUGGCACAGUUCAACACCUCUUUCUUAGCAAACCAGAAAGUGGGCAUGUGUGUGACAAACACAC